AGAGUGGACGCUGGCGGUAGGCCUAACACAUGCAAGUCGAACGGCAGCACGGUAAGAGCUUGCUCUUAUGGGUGGCGAGUGGCGGACGGGUGAGGAAUACAUCGGAAUCUACCUUUUGGUGGGGGAUAACGUAGGGAAACUUACGCUAAUACCGCAUACGCCCUUCGGGGGAAAGCCGGGGACCAGCGAUGGCCUGGCGCUGAUAGAUGAGCCGAUGUCGGAUUAGCUAGUUGGUGAGGUAAUGGCUCACCAAGGCGACGAUCCGUAGCUGGUCUGAGAGGAUGAUCAGCCACACUGGAACUGAGACACGGUCCAGACUCCGUACGGGAGGCAGCAGUGGGGAAUAGUUGGACAAGUGGGACGAAAGCCUAGACUCCAGCCAUCGACCGCGUGUGUAGAAGAAGGUUCUUACGGAUUAGUAAAGCGUAACGUUUAAGGUUGGAAGGUAAGGUUAGUAAACGUUAA
rnacentral:rRNA from 1 species